AGAUUUUGUUGGGUAUCCAGGAAUUAUUAAAUGAACCAAACAUUCAAGAUCCAGCACAAGCAGAAGCAUUCACUUUCUACAGCCAAGAUCGACUUGAAUAUGAACGAAGAGUUCGAGAGCAAGCCAAACGUUUCACUCCAUCAGAGUAAUUUCUCACCUGCCUAUUAUAGUAAUCUCAAUAUAUCUAUGAUAAAAAACAAACUGUACUCUUACACCUUCUUAAAGGUUUAUUAAGACCAUAGCUCAGACAGACAGAGUACAGAAUUCAUCAGACUCUUGUUAUUGUUCUGUCUUAUGCAUUAUUUGAAACAAAUCAGGCUCAUAAAAAUGUUUCUGGUACAUUAAAUUUCUAAAACUCCAUCAAAUUCACUCUUUUAUUUAUAAACAAAUAUUUUCAUAUAAACAAUUACCCAUUAAAAGCAAGUGGACCUCAAAAUUUUCACUGCUCUAUUUGCUGACCAGAAUCACUGUUGUUUUUUCAUUGUCAUAUUAUGCUGUGAAGAAAAUAAGUUUUAAGAGAUGACAUGAAGAGAUGAAUUAUUUAUUUUUUGAUAGAUUAAGGACUUGAGUGAAUUUUUCAAAUGUUUUCUAUUUCAUGUUGUCUUUGCUCAUGUUCAGCAGUUAUACAUAGUACUUGUGUAACCUUUCACUAACCUGCUCACUCAUAGUUUAAAAAUGCAGAUAAUAUUGGAGAAUAUGAGUGUAAUAACUAUCAUUUCAGUGGAACAAUUGUAUACUAUCGUAAUGGUGUCUCACAAUGCCCUUGUUUUAGUGCUUGAUUUUUUCACAUUUCGUGCACUUCUCAGUUAUGUACAUUACUGUGCCUGACAAUUUGUACUUUCUCACAGCGCAUAAUAUUUAUAAUCAUUGUCUGUUUCUUCAAAACGUUGGUAUCUCAUUUACGAUGACUGUUGCCGGUGAUAUGGCAUAUUAAUGCCUUGAUUGAAAAGUCUUGUGUUCAUAGUCAGCUAUCAGACUUCAUGGAUGAAACAAAAUCUUAUAGUAAUAAUAAAAAAAAUUAUUCUGUAUUUGAUCACCUGACUAUCCAAUUAUGUCUUCCCAAUAAACAAGUAAAAUCUUGAAAUUUUCUACUUGUAAAUCUACUUAUGAUUUAUUUAUAUGUAUUGGGGGAUACGAGAGAGUUUAGAAGAACAGGAACAGGAUUUGUACAUAUAUCUAUUCCAGGAUGUUCCCACUUUUCCUAUUUUAACAUGUUUUAACUCCAUCGAUUGAAAAAGGUCUGUUUGCCCCCUUUUGUCUCUUUGUACAUAGUUGUGCAGUGAUAUGGGUAUUCAUGUAUCAAAAUAAGUUGGGGGAGAAAUGUCCAUCUUUAAUACCCCCAUGAAUUGCUUAUUCUUUUCUUCAGCUUGCAAAGAUAUUUUGCUUACAUAGGUAACUUAAUUCGCACCUAUUUAAUAUUGAGUCUAUAGGGAGAUCCUUUGUAAUAUACAGUUUGAUUCUUCCUGGUCUAGAUAUUGACAGCUAUAGUCUGAUUACUAAAUAUAUGCAUAUGUAAUCACUAUUAUAACUCCACUAUUUUUAAACUUGAAAUCACUGUUUUAACAAUGCAGCAUUGCUACAUUUCCUUUCUAGUCUCCUGCUGUAUAUCAUGUAUUGAAAGAAUCUCACCUACUCUUAUUUCUAGUCUUCGUUCUUGUAUGUAUUGGUAAAAAAAUAAAUGUUAUUGUUUUAA
rnacentral:lncRNA from 1 species